AUGUAUCACGCCUACACUCCGGUUCCUCCGCGCCGUCCGCACCCACCUGACGACUGCUCGCUACGUUUUGUUAGCC
rnacentral:sRNA from 1 species